rnacentral:lncRNA from 1 species
GCCCAUUCUGGGCCCAGAUUGCUCCUCUGACAGGAAGAGUACAGACCAACUGAUCACUAGUUCCCAUCUGGCCCAGGGCUCUCCAUAUACGGUGUCCUUAGUCUCUGUGCCUGUAGCACGCUGCCCCUAAUGCAGCUCCAUCCUGUUUCCUCAGAGCAAUUUGCUGGACGUGAACCAGAUCAUCAAGGACUUGGCCUCCAUGGCGUCGGAGCAAGGAGAUGCCGCUGGUGGGUACCCACUCUACCCUCAGGCCACGUAGCCCCAGCUGGCUCUUCCCCCAGGUGUGGGCACAGCUGCCUAAAGAUGACGGAGGCCCAGAAUGGCUUCUGCCUGGCUCUCCUCCUGCUCCACCUCUACCCUGGGCCUUGCACUGACUAGGGACUCUCUGGAGUGAAGGCCAGCUGCCUGGGACAGGUGACUGCAGCAUGGCCCUGAGGAUACGGAGGGUGGGGGCCUAGAGCCCCUUAGAGUCUGGUGCUGUCUCCAGUGACUGUCAGGAGCCAUGUGUGCCUCUGGGAAAUGGGUGUGCCUGAGCUGGGUGGAACAGGGGCAGUGGCUGGGCCUGCGGGCCUGGCCAGGGCAUGGUAUCCCCCAAACCCCUCACUCCAAAGGAACUGGGCCAGCUCUGCCAAUGGGUCAAAGGUCAAAGGCCCUUGUCCCUGGAGCUGCCCUGCUUCUCAGGAGGAAAUAAGAAGCAAGGCCAAGGCCGAGGCCCAGGCCUGUCCCUUGCUGGUGAGGGUUGCUGGGGUCGUGUGGAGCAGGGAGGCUUGAGGGUCAUGUCACAGUGUCCUCACCCACUGCGAGAGAGGGGCCUUCUCUAACAGAAGGGACACAGACCAGAGAGGCCUGGUGGCAUCCGCCCAGGCCCUCUGCUACCCCAGCCCUUCUGCUCUGCCUUGCUGUGGGGUCACCUUUGACCUCCCCAGAGAGGACCUCCCUGUCUUCCUCUGUGCUCCACAAGUUCUGGCCCCAGCAACUGGCCAUUUAUAUUUGGACAAUUUUUUUCGGGGUGGGGGGGGUACCACAGAUUGAAUUUAGGGCCCUCAACUACUGAGCCACGUCCCCAGCCCUAUUUUGUAUUUUAUUUAGAGACAGGGUCUCACUGAGUUGCUUAGCGCCUCGCCGUUGCUGAGGCUGACUUAGAACUUGCCAUCCUCCUGCUUCAGCCUCAUGAGCCGCUUGGAUUACAGGUGUGCACCACUGCACCUGGCACACUGGACAAUUUUAAGUGUUCAGACCUUCCUCUCCGCUGGGCUCUGUGCCUGCCUAGUUAGGUCUAGGGCAUUUUGAACAUGAAGUGGUUACUCUGAUCACUUUCCUUCUGGACUGAGCGAGGUGCUGGCUCCAUGGGUGGCCUCCUUGCUUGUGCAGAGCCCUGGGGGCACAGGGACACUGGUGUCAUUACCCAGUGUGGUAGAGGCCCUGUGCCCACCUGAUUUGGGGCUGGGGUGCACAGGUGGGGACUUUAAGGGCUUGCUCACAUGUGGGCCAUCCUGUUGCCCCAGGGGUGCCAGCCUUCUCCGUAGCUGCGGCCACCCAGAGUUCUGGCCCCAGCUGCAAGGUGGAGACGCCCUGGCCAGGGCAAUGGUCCCCUCGGCUUGGUUGCCCUCCAGGACCCAGACUCCUGCACUUACUCAUCUGCUUCUUCCAUCCCUGACAGCCAUCCCCUCACCCGGGCCUGUGCCUCUAACGAGGAGCAAGCGCCCCGAGCUGGGUGGGCCCUGGCACCCUUCUGGAGCUCUGCUGCUCCCAGGUCGGUGGAGGCCUGAGCCAGGAGCCUAAGCCUGGCAGCUGCCCUCCCUGUUGCUCCUGGACUCACCCUGUACCCCUUCAGAGCCUGGGCUCCCAGCAGGGCCUGCUCUGGGCAUGGCACUUGCUGAGCUGCCUCGUCACUGCUCCCAGGACCCGCCCUAUCCCUCUUCCCGUCUCCUUGCCUUCUGUCUGCCUCUAAAGUGGCCACCGCCCACUGCCCCCUGGGGCUGGCUGGCUGGGCUGGAAUGUCAGAGUGUGUACAAUGGCUUGUCCACCCUAAGGCCACCCAGUCCCCGUAAUGGACCCAUGGGAGAGCUGUGGGGAGCGGAACAAGCCAGGGCUGACCUGCACAUGGGCAGGGGAGUCACCUAGAUAGCUGGCAGGCAGGAGCUUCAAGAGUCGCCAGAUCCCCAACUGGUGGGUGUGGGUCACCUGUAUGUAGGACACUGAUGUGGGGACCUGUGAGGACCAGGACCACAGGCCUGGUGGCACGCUGUCCACAGUCUCUGCCUAGUGCUCAGCCUCUGGUGCCUUUCCAGGGUCCAGCAGCAGGAAGGCCACCAGCCGGCAGACCUCCAGCCCCGAGCCAGCAGAGGCAGCCCUGCUACCAGGGGUGGGGCUGGGCACCACACCCCUGCGGCCCAGCAGCCACUCCCGCACCAAGACACGCAAACCCAACUUCAGUCCCCAGGAGACAGAGGUGCUGGUGCGGAGGGUGGCACGCCACUACCCACUGCUGUUCGGGGCACUGCGGAGCACACCUGCUCGGAAGCACCACGUGUGGAGCAGGAUCCUACAGGCUGUGAAUGCGCUGGGCUACUGCCGCCGUGACCUGGGUGACCUCAAGCACAAAUGGAGGGACCUACGAGGGGCCGUGCGCAAGAAACUGGCAGAGAGUCCGGCUCCUGGAUUCAUCCUCACACCUGUGGAACGCAUGGUGGCUGAGACCUUCUCGACCCCAGCCUCCCAGGGCAAGAGCCAGGCAACAAGUAAGUGGGCCCCUCCCCACAGCCCACCCCUGGCCUAGCCUGGCCUGGCCUGGCCUGGGCAGUGAGCUGGCUGGCUUCCGGUGCACAGCCCCCAAAGAACGAGACUCCAGGGGAGUGCUGGGGGCCUGAGGAGACGGCUCAUCCCCCUCCCGGCCCCUCGGCUCCUGGGUAGGAAACCCAAGGCCCAGGCCCAGGCAGAGGCCUGCUCAUUUGGGGAGGAGGGGUCAGGUUCAUGCUGGCCCUGAGCUCACGGUCCACUGGGACUUUCCCCAGCCUUGGCAUAGUACAGCAAGGGGACCCUCAAAUCCAUCUCAAAAACUGAAGUCACUCAAAGCCCCUGGGUCUCAUGUGGCCUGGGGGGUCAGUGCCUUUGCCACCACCACUGGCGGCAGCAGCUUGGGGAGCUUAGACCUGCUGCUGGGCUCAGGGCUCCACGGCAGCUGCCACCUUGAGCCAUGGCCACAGCAGGGAGCUGAGUGCCUCCGUCCCUUCCCUGGUAUCUAGAGAGGACACUGGGGCCCCAUGGCCCCGUUUCCCCGUCACUCUAGAGAGACAAGUUCCAGGAUGGUGAAGGCAUCCCUUAGAUAUACAGGGCCCUACUCUGUGUAUCUAAGGGAGGUGCAAAGACUGAGGUCCAGGGGCCUGGCUGAGCAGCCCAGGCCCAAAGCCCAGGCACAGUCUCCGAGGCCCCGCUCCUCUCUGCCAUGUCUGCUGCGUCUGGUGUGGUGCGGCUGGGAGGCCUCUUUGGCCCCAGGCCAUUGUCCACUCUGUCUUCUCAGGAGUGCUCAUGACAAAGGUCAGGGCAGUGACUGUCCUUAGGCCACCAAGUGUUAAUAGCAGAGGAACCAAGCAAGGCAGCAAGCUUGGGUGGCCACAGGCUUGAAGAUGUGGCUGUGGCUGGGAGGAAGGAGGCUGCCCUGCAUAGCUCCCUCCUCCUCCAAGCUGGACCAGGCCUGGAGUGAGAGUGCCCAGGGUUGAUGCCAUCAGAUGGCAAGCCACCAGCAGGUGGAGGCUGCCUGGCCGGAGCCACGUCCAGCCACUAACCUUUGCUGUGCCUUUUGGUGUCAGAGGUGGCCUCUGUGUUGGUGAAUGCUGCUGGAGAAUUUGGCCAGAGCCAGGAGGAGCCCAGGCCAGUGCCUUCCCGCCUCAGCCUGCCUUGUCCGGGCCUGGGGAGCAGGACUGCGUGCCCUCCUCAGCAGGCCCUUCAGAAUCGCUCUGGUGCUCUUGGCCUCUCAGAGCGCUUCUUCUGCUGGGCUGCUCCAGGAACCACCUUUUCCAGAAGUCUCUGUUCUUGGCUGGGCCUGUCCUGCAGCCCACACUGCCUCUGAGCCCUCCCAUGAUGCGGGCUCGGGUGCUGUCUCCACUCUGCCUCCUCUGCUGCCCUCCUCCUCACCACCCUGCCUCACAGCCAGGCCUGCUGGACUCUCCUCCUGGGAAGCUCUGGAAGGACGUGGGGAUGGAGCCAGGAGUAAGAUGAGCCUUCUCAGGGUGGGGCAGCCAGCAGGACCCCACCUCAGACGGACCAGCAGGAGGUCCUGGGGGGACUCGGAGCCGUACCUGCUCUGAUCCUUCUCUUCUGUGGUGCCUGCAGCUGGGACACGUGGGCAAGGCCAGGCCUGGCUGGGAGACGUGUAGGUCCAGGACAGGUCUCGUGCUGGGCCUCAGGAUGCACAGGUCCUGAUAGGCCUGGGGAGGCCAGGGGUAUGGGACUAUUACCAUCCCCAGGGAGGCCUCGUGCCUUCUCCUUUAAGGCAGAGGCCUGCCGCUGUGUUCCUGAGGCAGGCUUGGGUGAUUCAGGCAAGGGUGUGCCCUGUGGGGCCUGGGUGUUCAGGUACUUUCUGCAAGUCCCCGACCUGGAGGGCAGCAGGAACGCUGGAGUAUACCCUGCAUCCCCUGCCCUGGGUGAGGCCCAGCCCAGCUUCCUUCAUCCCUGAUCGAUCAGCCGCAGCCCCUAUGGCCUUGUAGCCCUGGUUCUCCUAACGGAGGAGAAGCUUCUGUGGUGCCCAGGAACCUCUUGUGAGAUGGUCUGCAUGCCUCUGAUGUUUGUUGAAUGAAAUGACUGUGUGGGAGGAGCAGACUUGCCCUGAUAGGCACUGAGGCCAGAAGCAGGGAAGUAGCUGCAGGGCCGGCAGUGGGGUGGGAGUGCCCCCCGAUCAGUGCCAGCCUGGGGAAGCAGGACUCGUCCUCUCUUCAGCAGGCCCUGUCCAAGGGUAGCCUCUGGGGCUUAGACAGGGCCGGGCCUGGGGGCCUGGGGAAGUGAGCUGCCGAGCUCAUGGAUUUCCAGUUUCUGUGCUCCGAGGCUGCUGACAGGUGCACUUGCCCAGGGGCGCCUCCGGCUCUCUGCAUUUGUCCUGAGGGGUGGUUGGUGACCAGUGCCAUCUUCUUUAGCCCCUGGAGGCCUGCACAGCCCUUGGGCUUUUCAGAGGCUGUCUGAGGUAGAGCAAGUCCCACAUGCAGCGCCCUGUGCCAGGAGACAGGAGGGUGCCCUGUGGACCUGGAGCCUUCAAGGCAAGGCUUCUGAGCUGUCAGAGAGCCACCUGGCCAUGCCCCAUACAGCCUGGGGCUUAGGCAGGGCCGGGCCUGGGGGCCUGGGGAAGUGAGCCGCAGUUUCUGUGCUCCGGGGCUGUUGACAGGUGCUCUUGCCCAGGGGCGCCUCCAGCUGUCCUUCCUGCUUCCUUCUCUGGCUGCCCUCUGAUGUGACAGGACACUUUGAGUUUGGGGCAGCUGCAGCCUGCCCAGAAGAGGAAGAGGUGUGCUGCAGCCUUGUUGCCCCUUCCCUCCCCGUGCUGGGCUGUGUCCUGGAGACCUGUCGCCCUGUAGCCUGGCCUUGACUGGGUUGGAGGGUGGAGCAAAAGUAGAGACUGGGGGCUCAGGUCUGCCUGAGGCCUAGGGGUUUCUCAAAGGUAGGGCUCCAGGGAUGAGGCCGCCUUCUCUCAUAGAGCAGCCGCCCCCGCUGGAAGGCUGGGAGUCGCCGCUCCCUCUGCAGGCCCCAUGGGGCUGGGGGCACACGCUGCAGCGGCUCAAUGGCCCUCGGCCUCCUGGGCCAUAGGUGGGCCCUUUGCAGUGGGUGUCCGCUGCCUGAUUCCCGAGGCAGGCCUUCCGACCGCUGCCCCUCCCACAAGGACUUCACGUGUCUCAGGCGAGUGCCUGCCUCUGCUGGCCUCUGGGGCCUGCCGCACUGGGUGUUGACUGCCCUCUGCCCCUGUGUGGCCUGAGUUUGCCCAGUGGAGUCAGGACAACUGGACGUGCCUUCUGCCAUGUGGUGCUACUUCUUGGCCACUGCCUGGUGUAAAAUUUGUCCCCAGGACUGGGCCCAGGCCGUGCCUUCCCAAAGCCACUGGUCCCCAGCCAGCCCCAUGCUCUUUGAAUGGCCUUGUUGGAACCCAGCCACCGUAGAGUCCCACGUUCACAGCCCUGUCCUCUCAGCGGCACUGCAGGACCUGUCCCUGAGGGGGGCCAUGGCCAGAUGGGAGGCCGCCCGAGGCAGCCGCAGGCGGCUCUGGCUUUCCUCUUCACUCUUUCCUGAGGGGCUUUCCCCUGCCGCCUCCAAAGUCUGCUUCCCCAAGGACACUUCCAGGCCCUGGUCCUUCUCUCAAGGCCGAACACUGUCCACACCAGGGUGAUCCUUGAGUGGGCCCUGAGCCGCAUCCCUGCAGCCUCUGACCCUUUAGAGGCUGGACCUCGUUUCUUGAGUGUGCAGCCCACAUGGGAAGGAGCUCAGGGGCGGAUGCACGUCCAGCCAACCUGGGCUCGGGCUCCCCUGGGGCUCGGGCUCCCCGGGGCUAGCUCAGGUGAUGUAGGCUGGUCAAAACGUGGGCCUCCACCUGGUGACCGCCUUCUGCUGUGGUGACUUGCAGAUAGUACUGCAGCAGCACGUGUGGAGGCGGCCGGGGAGCCCCGGGCUGGGCUGGGCUGCCAUACCAAGUAAGUGGGUCUGAGGGUAGGAGCGCUGGCUGGCCCAGCCUCGGUCCCUUUGUCCCUCACCCAUCUGUCUGGGAAGCCAGGCCCUGCCUGUGCCUAGAAGGGACAAGCCCAUGGUCUUCUUUGAGUCAGGCCACUGGCUUACGUGUGGGCACUGGGAGGGGGGAAGAAGGGACAGAGCCAUGGUCUGAGUGGCUCCCGCAGUGGUCAGCACCAUCUCCUCUCAUUUGGACUCCCCACCACCUUACCCCUCAGCUUCCUCACCCGCCUGGCCUACAAGGUGGUGGUUAGGUCUGUAACUGGCACAGUGGGAGCUGGCCAGUGGGGUGUGGGCAUAGCGUGGCUGUGCUUCCGGGGAGGCCGGUGCACUGUGGUCCUCACUGGCAGGCUGCCCUAGGUAGCCCUGACCCCCUUGUCCCAGGAAGGCUGGCCGGCUCUGCCUGUCUGCCCUUCCUGAGCGCUCUCCAGGCCUCACUGUGGGGUGCUAGCCUGGGGCUCUGCAGCUGCCUGGGGCUGCUGCUUGGAGGUGUGGGUGGGUUUUAGGGAGGGAGACAAACCUCCACUGUUGCACACGAGCAGGACCCAGAGCAGACUUGAGGGCCACCAUCGCCUUGUGCCCACCACCAUGAGGAGGGCCUGACCGCGCCAGGCAGGCUGGAGACCUUAGUCCAGCAGGAAGGAGGGCCAGCAGCCUUGUCCCCUGGCUCACUUGCUCACUGUGUUCCUUUGGUCCCUGCUGGCUCCUACAAGCAGAUCCUGUCCCUUGAGUUUGUGUCCCAAGGACCAGACAGGUGGGCAUUCAGUCUGGACAUGGGGGUGGUGGGGUACCCUGGGAGUUCAGAGGCCCCCCAGGUUGGCUGGGGUGGGAGGGCUCCCCGGAGAGCACACACCUGCUGCGGCUGAGCCGAGGGAAGGUCUGCUGAGUCCUGAGGACAGGCCACUGCAGCCCGCUCCAGUGAGGAUGGUCGUGUGAGGGCUGUGACGAGGGAGGGGCAGCCACAGUGCCUUGCUUUCCUGGGGGUCUGGGGAAUGCACUGUGCUUGGCAAAAGCCCUCGGUGGCCUUGGAGAGCAGGAAACGAAGAGCCUUGGUGGGGAGAAGGUAGAGGCGAGGUGGGGCUUGCUGCCCCCAGGCUGAGGCUGACCUCCACGCUGGGGUGGGUGGCUGCAGGCCUCGGCUGGCAUUCAGCAGGAAUGUGUGACGGAAUGAUGGUCAGGGCCUGGUCACAGCUGCCUUCCCCCAUUUUCCAUCAUGGCCAUCAGAUUCAAGGUCAGUGUGGCCAGCGGUGGCCCUUUGUGAUGGCUGGUGAGUGGGACUGGGGCACCUUGGGAUGGCCACUCAGGCUCCUGUCCAACCCUCAGUCCCAGCCAUCUUGUGGCAUGGACAGGUCUCCACUCAGGGCCCUUCCAGAAGCUUCCUGGGGUGGGACUUGCAGGCCAGUGCAUCAGGAGGCACACACACAGAGGACCUUGUCCUGAAUGACAAGAGGACUUGAGUGCCCAGGACCAGCUGGUCAGGAAGGAUGCACAGAUGCCUGGGGCAGCAGAGGGAGAUGUGACCAUGGGGAGGAGGAGGAGGAAGCAGGAGGGGAGGUAGCCACACCGACCAGCUCCUCCCGGUGGGUGUGGGGCCCAGAACUUCCCCCACUGUAGAUGAGGUGAGUGGACACAGCAGGUGGUCUGCCAGAAGCCACCAGCACAAUGCCCUGCCCCCAUUGGCAUGGCCCUCCCACAAGCACAUCAGGAAGGGAUGUCUGCUGGCCUGUCCAUGCCCAGAGGCCCCAGGCCUUCCCCUUUCAGGUUAGGAAUUGGCAGCCUAGAGAAGCAGGGGAGGUCCUAGUGCCCCCCAGCCGUGGAGACCAGGCCCAGCUGGUCUGGGAGCUCAAGUCCUUUGGACCCUGGGAAGCGCAGCCCCCCUUCCUUCUGAGAUGGCACUGUGGGAACUCAAGGCAGGCGGGGGGCGGGGCUGGAUAGAAAGCUCAGUGGGAAGACGGAUGGAUGGGUCAAUGAAGUGACAAAAAGUGGAUGACAGACAGUGGGUAAGUGAGGGCUGAGUGGCUGGUGAGCAGGUGGGUGGAUGGAUCCAGGCGAGGAGAAGGGUAGUGGGACUGCCUGGGUGACAGAGCAAGAUGAACAGGUGGGUGGGCAGGAGGAUGACUGUGGAGAGACAGAGGAACGGCCAGGGUGCCAGUAGAUAGAGGGACCCCUGGGUGGGCAGACGGGAAAGGCGGCGGGGGACGGGGGGGGGGGCCCGCCCGGCUGCUGCAGCAGGUGCCUUUGCCUCGCGCACCUGGCCUUCUGCAUCUCUAAAGGGCGCCGUGCUAGCUGCCGAGGGGACUGGCCCUGAACGGCUGCAGGCAGGGGGCCUCGUGUGUCUGCUGCCUCCCACCUGCUCCCCUGUCGUGCCUGGUACUGCCCACUGGUGGCCAGCCCAGACUGACCCUCCCCUGUCUCCCUCUGUUAGCCGACGAGGAAGACGAGGAUGAAACUGCCAACUGCCUGUGGCGACCCCUGAGGACCCCGGAAGGGCCCAGUCCACCUGAACCUGACCCCCUGGACUUCCGAGGAGCUCUCCGUGCAUCCACCUCCUCACCCUCCCUGCCUGCCUCCCUGGCAUCUGUGCCCCCAGGGGCCGCGGGCAUGGGUUCCUUUGGGCCCUCCCCACCUUCCUCAGCACCAGCAUCUACGCUGCCCCUGCCCUCCGGGAGGACCCUGUGCACAGCGUCUGAGGCCUCCGUGUUUGAGCAGCAGCUGCUGGACUCCCACCUGCGGCAGGGUGCCCUGCUGGCCUCCUGGUCGCAGCAGCAGGGUGCGCUGAUGGCCCAGCAGAACCUGCUGCUGCAGCGGCUGGCGGAGCAGAGCCAGCGGCUGGCUGAUGGUGUCGAGGCCCUCAGCCGGACCCUGGAGCGGCUGGUGGCAGUGCGCCCAGCCCAGGAGGGCUCACCCUCCAUCCUAGAAGGUAGCCCUGCUGCUGGAGGGGCCUGUGGACCCACCAGAGGCCCCCAGGACAGUCCCCAGGGUGCCCACCCAGGCCCAGAGGUCUUCUCGGGGCUGAUCCUGAAGGUGGAGGAAGAGCUGUAGGACUGGCCCAGGGUCCCCUUUGGCACCAGGCCAGGGAGAGGACAAGGACUGAGGAAGCCUGGAGAGGGUGUGGGGCGUCUCCCCACGGUGCCUUUCUGUCCCUGGCCUUGGGUGGGUGUGGCGACCUGCCAGUCUGGCCUCAGCACCAACCUGCUGGUCCAGGCCAGGGUCUACUCAGGACAGUGGCAGUGAGUCUGACCUCCCCCUGCCUGGAGCCCCCUGGGCCCGUGGCUGCCGUUGGCUGCGGGUCACCUCUGCAGGCCGGCACCAGUGGGGGGAGGUGGGGAAAAGACGCUCAGCCCGGGGCCUCGGAGCCCUGGGGAGUGGGGACUUGGCAGCUGCGCGGGCUCAGAGGGCCCGGGCUCGGCUCCUUGAUUCUGGUUCAGGGGAGCCCCGUCCGUGAGCCUGGAGUUAAUUCUCUUCAAUUUUAUAUCAAUGUCAUAAAUACAUAAAUGCAG